rnacentral:lncRNA from 10 species
CUUCCUGUAGGCUGGCAGUAGUGGUUCGUGCCUAUAGUCCCAGCACUUUGGGUGGCUGAGGCGGGAGGUUCAUUUAAGGCCAGGAGUUAAAGACCAGCCCAGGCAACAACAGUGAGACCCUGACUCUACAAAACAAAAACAAACAAACAAACAAAAAAAUUAGCCAGGUAUGGUGACAGGCACCUAUAGUCCUAGCUACUCAGGGAGCUGAGGUGGGAGGAUCACUUGAGCCCAGGAGUUAAAGGUUACAGUGAAUUAUGAUCACACUACUGCAUUGCAGCCUGGGCGACAGAGCAUGACCCUAACUCUAAAGAAAAUUAAGUUUCAAAAUUAAAAAAGUAAAAUCCUCCUGUAGACUUUAAAAUGCAGUUGGUAGGGGUUCCCUGGACAGCCCCUCCCCCCGCUUAUGGAGCGUGGUGUAGGGUGCUCAGGAAUGUCUGGGAUGGCACAGGUCAGGACAGAAGGGGACGCCCUGCUCAGGGAGCGACUGGGAGGUGGGUGCCUAAGAGGGCUGAGCAGCCUUAUGAUGCACGGCUAGACCUAGGAUAGCCCUGCUGUCCCCACUCCCUCCACACAGCCUGGGGUCUUCUCUCUUUAGCAUGAUCUCUUGCCAGCACUUGAGGAUUUAUGGCCCAGAGGCCCCAAACAACUGUGUGGCUUUGGCCAAGCCCUGUGCCGGCUCUGGCUGCUUUCCUCGUCUCCUAUGCAGGGCACUGGACCGCUCUCCCGCUGAGAAUCCCUGAUAAUGACAAGCAGACUUUACCCAGCUUAUUUUUUUACUGUUUGGC